AUUGAACGCUGGCGGCAGGCCUAACACAUGCAAGUCGAACGAGUGGCGGACGGGUGAGUAACGUCUGGGAAACUGCCUGAUGGAGGGGGAUAACUACUGGUAACGGUAUCUAAUACCGCAUACCAUCGGAUGUGCCCAGAUGGGAUUCACUAGUAGGUGGGGUAACGGCUCACCUGGGCGACGAUCCCUAGCUGGUCUGAGUGGAUGUCCAGACACACUGGAACUGGGACACGGUCCAGACUCCUACGGGGGGCAGCGGUGGGAAAUAUUGGACAAUGGGGGCAAGCCUGAGGCAGACAUGCCGCGUGUAGAAAGAAGGCAUGCGGGGUGUAAAGUACUUUCAGCGGGGAGGCGUUACCCGCAGAAGAAGCACCGGCUAACUCCGUGCCAGCAGCCGCGGUAAUUC
rnacentral:rRNA from 1 species